rnacentral:rRNA from 1 species
GACGAACGCUGGCGGCGUGCUUAACACAUGCAAGUCGAACGGAAAGGCCCUGCUUUUGUGGGGUGCUCGAGUGGCGAACGGGUGAGUAACACGUGAGUAACCUGCCCUUGACUUUAGGAUAACUUCAGGAAACUGGGGCUAAUACCGGAUAGGAGCUCCUGCUGCAUGGUGGGGGUUGGAAAGUUUCGGCGGUUGGGGAUGGACUCGCGGCUUAUCAGCUUGUUGGUGGGGUAGUGGCUUACCAAGGCUUUGACGGGUAGCCGGCCUGAGAGGGUGACCGGCGACAUUGGGACUGAGAUACGGCCCAGACUCGUACGGGAGGCAGCAGUGGGGAAUAUUGCACAAUGGGCGGAAGCCUGAUGCAGCAACGCCGCGUGCGGGAUGACGGCCUUCGGGUUGUAAACCGCUUUCGCCUGUGACGAAGCGUGAGUGACGGUAAUGGGUAAAGAAGCACCGGCUAACUACGUG